GUAGAUGGGACAUUAGGAUGUUUAACAUAUACAGCCAAAAUAUGUUACACUCCUUGACAAUGAAGAUGGUUUCAUGGUAGAUUGAUCACACAUCUGGAUACGUAGCAUAUACAGACUAAAUAUGUUACACUCCUAGACAAUGAAGAUGCUUUCAUGGUAUAUAGCACACGAAGAUACAUAUCAUAUACAGCCUAAAUAUGUUACACUCUUCGACAAUGAAAAUGGUUUCAUUGUAGAUAGCACAUUAGGAUUUGUCACAUAUACAGCCUAAAUAUGUAAGACUCCUAUACCAUGAAAGAUGCUUCCAUUGCAGAUAGCACAUUAGGAUUAGUCACAUAUACAGCCUAAAUAUAUAAGACUCCUAUACCAUGAAAGAUGCUUCCAUUGCAGAUAGCACAUUAGGAUAAGUCACAUAUACAGCCUAAAUAUGUUGCACUCCUAGACAGAGAAGAUGGAUUCAUGGCAGAUAGGAAGAGUCAACAUAUACAGCCCAGAUGUGUUCCACUCCCACACAAUGAAGAUAGUUUCAUGGUAGAUGGGACAUUAGGAUGUUUAACAUAUACAGCCAAAAUAUGUUACACUCCUUGACAAUGAAGAUGGUUUCAUGGUAGAUUGAUCACACAUCUGGAUACGUAGCAUAUACAGACUAAAUAUGUUACACUCCUAGACAAUGAAGAUGCUUUCAUGGUAUAUAGCACACGAAGAUACAUAUCAUAUACAGCCUAAAUAUGUUACACUCUUCGACAAUGAAAAUGGUUUCAUUGUAGAUAGCACAUUAGGAUUUGUCACAUAUACAGCCUAAAUAUGUAAGACUCCUAUACCAUGAAAGAUGCUUCCAUUGCAGAUAGCACAUUAGGAUUAGUCACAUAUACAGCCUAAAUAUGUAAGACUCCUAUACCAUGAAAGAUGCUUCCAUUGCAAAUAGCACAUUAGGAUAAGUCACAUAUUAUACAGCCUAAAUAUGUAACACUCCUAUACCAUGAAAGAUGCUUUCAUUGUAGAUAGCACAUUAGGAUGUUGCUCAUAUACAGCCUAAAUAUGUUGCACUCCUAGACAGAGAAGAUGGAUUCAUGGCAGAUAGGAAGAGUCGACAUAUACAGCCCAGAUGUGUUCCUCUCCCACACAAUGAAGAUAGUUUCAUGGUAGAUGGGACAUUAGGAUGUUUAACAUAUACAGCCAAAAUAUGUUACACUCCUUGACAAUGAAGAUGGUUUCAUGGUAGAUUGAUCACACAUCUGGAUACGUAGCAUAUACAGACUAAAUAUGUUACACUCCUAGACAAUGAAGAUGCUUUCAUGGUAUAUAGCACACGAAGAUACAUAUCAUAUACAGCCUAAAUAUGUAAGACUCCUAUACCAUGAAAGAUGCUUCCAUUGCAGAUAGCACAUUAGGAUUAGUCACAUAUACAGCCUAAAUAUGUUGCACUCCUAGACAGAGAAGAUGGAUUCAUGGCAGAUAGGAAGAGUCAACAUAUACAGCCCAGAUGUGUUCCACUCCCACACAAUGAAGAUAGUUUCAUGGUAGAUGGGACAUAAGGAUGUUUAACAUGUA